UUGGUUCAGCUAUCGGGAAAUUAGCAGGGGCCUACUCCAGCUGUAAACUGGAAACAGUGUCCAUGUCCUCUCAGGGCCAUGUGAGGCCCAAGGUGGGAAUUCAGUAUGGAAAGUGCAAUUUAAAGCUUCACACGAAAGCACUUGAGUAUGCGAGGAGUUAUUUCUGACCAGAGUCCUCAUUUCGCAGUGUGACCAAAACCAAGGAGUGUAAUGAACAAUCAGGCUCUCGGGGAAUAAAGGCAGGCUGUAGACAAUCUGUCCGUUUCUGCAUCAAAAUUGGAGUGAAUGUUUGUAUAUACCUACAAGUUAAUAGAAAUGACUUCUACUUGCUGGGCUAACCCAAAAUUGUCUUAAAAUUCUUUUUUUGUUUUUUACUUGAAACCCCAUUUUAAAUCUUGCCAGCCUCAAUUCAAAAAUCACUCUGAGAAUUGAUGGCGAUCUGUUGAAGUGGCAAAUCCUUUCAUUUGUAUUAAAAAGAAAAUAUCCAAAAAGAGGGAAACAGCCUUGGCGUUUUCUGGCAUUAAUGAAAUAACGUCCCUCUGAUGAAUUAUUUUCAAAGAAACACUUUCUUAUUUACUGCGUGGUGUAAAAUGUGCUAAAUGUGUUCUUACAUUAUUAUGUCACUGCUGAAAGUUAUUUGCACUAUAAUAAAGGAAUUUUCUACAAAGUGG